UGGGGAAUUUUGGACAAUGGGCGAAAGCCUGAUCCAGCAAUGCCGCGUGUGUGAAGAAGGCCUUCGGGUUGUAAAGCACUUUUGUCCGGAAAGAAAUCCUUGGCUCUAAUACAGUCGGGGGAUGACGGUACCGGAAGAAUAAGCACCGGCUAACUACGUGCCAGCAGCCGCGGUAAUACGUAGGGUGCAAGCGUUAAUCGGAAUUACUGGGCGUAAAGCGUGCGCAGGCGGUUUGCUAAGACCGAUGUGAAAUCCCCGGGCUCAACCUGGGGAACUGCAUUGGUGACUGGCAGGCUAGAGUAUGGCAGAGGGGGGUAGAAUUCCACGUGUAGCAGUGAAAUGCGUAGAGAUGUGGAGGAAUACCGAUGGCGAAGGCAGCCCCCUGGGCCAAUACUGACGCUCAUGCACGAAAGCGUGGGGAGCAAACAGGAUUAGAUACCCUGGUAGUCCACGCCCUAAACGAUGUCAACUAGUUGUUGGGGAUUCAUUUCCUUAGUAACGUAGCUAACGCGUGAAGUUGACCGCCUGGGGAGUACGGUCGCAAGAUUAAAACUCAAAGGAAUUGACGGGGUCAUA
rnacentral:rRNA from 1 species